rnacentral:rRNA from 1 species
AGAGCGAACGCUGGCGGCAGGCCUAACGCAUGCAAGUCGAGCGCGUGUAGCAAUACACGAGCGGCAGACGGGAGAGUAACACGUGGGAACGCGCCCUUCGGUUCGGAAUAACUCAGGGAAACUUGAGCUAAUACCGGAUACGCCCUUACGGGGAAAGAUUUAUUGCCGAAGGAACGGCCCGCGUCCGAUUAGCUAGUUGGUGAGGUAACGGCUCACCAAGGCGACGAUCGGUAGCUGGUCUGAGAGGAUGACCAGCCUCACUGGGACUGAGACACGGCCCAGACUCCUACGGGAGGCAGCAGUGGGGAAUAUUGGACAAUGGGCGCAAGCCUGAUCCAGCCAUGCCGCGUGGAUGAUGAAGGCCUUAGGGUUGUAAAGUCCUUUAACGGGGAAGAUAAUGACGGUACCGUAGAAUAAGCCCGGCUAACUUCGCGCCAGCAGCCGC